AAACUUUCAACAAUGGAUCUCUUGGCUCUUGCAUCGAUGAAAAACGCAGUGANGUGCGAUAUGUAGUGUGAAUUGCAGAAUUCCGUGAAUCAUCGAAUCUUUGAACGCAUAUUGCACUCUCUGGUAUUCCGGAGAGUAUGCCUAUUUGAGGGUCAUU
rnacentral:rRNA from 1 species